CUGGAGCAAAACUGCUGAGGUUUGAGGCCCCGUUUUGCUGCUCACUAGCUACAUGAUCUUGGGCAAGUUAUUUAAGCUCUCUGAGCUUCAGUUUCUUCCUCUGCAGAAUGGGGAUGAAAGUGGACUACUACCUCAUGGCAUGUUUUGAGGAUGAAAUGAGCUAAUAAACACAGUCUUCAGCCCUACAUUAGGAUGGCCUAAGGAAAACAAGAAGACUGAAUGAUAUUCCCUGCUGACUUAUAUAAGUUAUUAGUCUUCUAGAAGGAUCACAAGGAACCAGCAUCAAAGAAAUGGAAUCCAGCUAAUUCCCCCAAGAAACUGAAGUUUUCGGGACAUGACUUGUGAAAGGCAAACAUAAGCUGACAUCUUUUCACACUGAACAGCAAGAGCCAAAGUGUAUCCGAAAAGCCAUUGUCAAAACAAGGAGUGAGAACAGCUGGGGUCAAGACCUAAUGAAGGGCAUCACUCAGCCUCUUUGAGCCUCGGAUUCCUCAUUUGUAAAGUGGGCAUAAUAAUACCUCACAGGGUAGUUAUGAGGGCAAAUGAGAUAAUGGACACGAAGGCACCUGUACACUCCACGGUGCUAUCAGAAUAUUGACUAUUAGUGCUUUCAUCACGCGGCUCCAUCCAAACCCCUGCUUUCCCUCACUCCAACAGGCUUUUACUCUGUCACCCAUGCUGGAGUGCAGUGGUGCAAUCUUGGCUCACUGAAACCUCUGCCUCCUGGAUUCAAGCGAUCCUCCCACCUCAGCCUCCCGAGUAGCUGGGACUACAGAAAUUAUUCCUUUGCAGGUGGUGCAAAGGAUCAGCACGGGAGUUUUGACCUGCUCCGUUUCCGACCUGGGUCGGUUCACCCCUCCUUAGGCAACCUGGCGGUUCCCCGCUCCAGGGAGGUCACCCUCUUGAUGCUGAAUUUAGCACGGACACCUGAUGGGCACAGUGCACUGCAGCCCAGAGCUCCUGAGCUCAAGCCAUCCUCCUGCCUCAGCCUCCAAGUAGCCAGGACCACAGGCACGCACCCUGAGUACAGUCUUCCCAGCAAGAAGAACAUGAGUAUUCCCUCCAUCUGGGUCAAGAUUAGAGGCUGCUUUGAAGGAGCAAGGAAAAAUGUGGACUGUUCCCAAGUAUCACUGACUUUUCUGCUUAGCAUGGAAAAAUGUGUCACUUGAGUGUUUUCCUUUUCUUUCCAAGUUUUAUUUAUUUGAACUCAACAUUAUAGCAGCUACAAAAGAAAUUAUUAUAAAGAUUAAUGACCCACAAUUUAAUCACUUGGACACAACUGUUUUCUUCCUAUAUUUCUUUCCAUUCCUUAUCUAAAUGGGAAAUUAUUUUAUACAAUUGUAAUUACAGUAUAGAUGAUACUUUAAACAUUUAAACAUUACAUUAAAGACAAUUUUCUAAAUUUCCAUUGUCCAUAUCAGCAUAAGUUUCUUUUAUUUAUUUAUUUACUUAAUUUAUAAUAUAGAGACAGGGUUUCACCAUGUUGCCCAGGCUGAUCUCGAACUCC
rnacentral:lncRNA from 1 species